rnacentral:rRNA from 1 species
UACGAAGGUCCCAAGCGUUAUCCGGAUUUAUUGGGUUUAAAGCGCGCGUAGGUGGCCCCAUAAGUCCGCUGUGAAAGUCAAAGGCUCAACCUUUGAAAGCCGGUGGAUACUGUGGGACUAGAGUACGGAAGAGGCGAGUGGAAUUCCUGGUGUAGCGGUGGAAUGCGCAGAUAUCAGGAGGAACACCAAUAGCGAAGGCAGCUCGCUGGGACGUUACUGACACUGAGGCGCGAAAGCGUGGGGAGCGAACAGG